GAUGAACGCUGGCGGCGUGCCUAAUACAUGCAAGUCGAGCGAACGGACGAGAAGCUUGCUUCUCUGAUGUUAGCGGCGGACGGGUGAGUAACACGUGGAUAACCUACCUAUAAGACUGGGAUAACUUCGGGAAACCGUAGCUAAUACCGGAUAAUAUUUUGAACCGCAUGGUUCAAAAGUGAAAGACGGUCUUGCUGUCACUUAUAGAUGGAUCCGCGCUGCAUUAGCUAGUUGGUAAGGUAACGGCUUACCAAGGCAACGAUGCAUAGCCGACCUGAGAGGGUGAUCGGCCACACUGGAACUGAGACACGGUCCAGACUCCUACGGGAGGCAGCAGUAGGGAAUCUUCCGCAAUGGGCGAAAGCCUGACGGAGCAACGCCGCGUGAGUGAUGAAGGUCUUCGGAUCGUAAAACUCUGUUAUCAGGGAAGAACAUAUGUGUAAGUAACUGUGCACAUCUUGACGGUACCUAAUCAGAAAGCCACGGCUAACUACGU
rnacentral:rRNA from 1 species